CAGACUGGAGACAUGACAUCAUAGUGGAGGACUCCAGACUGGAGACAUGACAUCAUAGUGGAGGCCUACAGACUGCAGACCUGCAGACUGGAGACAUGACAACAUAGUGGAGGCCUACAGACUGGAGACAUUACAUCAUAGUGGAGGACUACUGACUGGGGACAUGACAUUAUAGUGGAAGACUACAGACAUGGCAACAUAGUGGAGGCCUACAGACUGGAGACAUGACAUCAUAGUGGAGGACUCCAGACUGGAGACAUGACAUCAUAGUGGAGGCCUACAGACUGCAGACCUGCAGACUGGAGACAUGACAACAUAGUGGAGGCCUACAGACUGGAUACAUGACAACAUAGUGGAGGCCUACAGACUGGAGACAUGACAACAUAGUGGAGUCCUGCAGACUGGAGUCAUGAUAACAUAGUGGUGACCUACAGACUGGGAACAUGACAACAUAGUGGUGAACUACAGACUGGAGACAUUACGACAUAGUGGAGGCCUACAGACUGGAGACAUUACAACAUAGUGGAGGCUUACAGACUGAAGACCUAUUGAUUGGAGACAUGACAACAUAGUGGAGGACUUCAGACUGAAGUCAUCACAACACAGUGGAGGCCUACAGACUGGAAACAUGACAACAUAGUGGAGGCCUACAGACUGGAGUCAUGACAACAUAGUAGAGUCCUGCAGACUGGGGAUAUGACAACAUAGUGGAGGCCUACAGACUGGAGACAUUACAACAUAGUGGAGGCCUGCAGUCUGGAGACAUUACAUCAUAGUGGAGGACUACGGACUGGGGACAUGACAUUAUAGUGGAAGACUACAGACAUGGCAACAUAGUGGAGGCCUGCAGACUGGAGAUAUGACAACAUAGUGGAGGCCUACAGUCUGGAGACAUUACAACAUAGUGGAGGCCUGCAGACUGCAGACAUGACAACAUGGUGUAGGCCUACAGACUGGAGACAGGACAUCAUAAUGGAGGACUACGGACUUGGGACAUGACAUUAUAGUGGAAGACUACAGACAUGACAACAUAGUGGAGGCCUACAGACUGGAGACAUUACAUCAUAGUGGAGGCCUACAGACUGGAGACAUUACAAAAUAGUGAAGACUACAGACUGGAGACAGGCCAACAUAGUAGAGGCCUACAGACUGGAGUCAUGACAACAUAGUGGAGGCCUACAGACUGGAGACAUGACAACAUAGUGGAGGCCUACAGACUGGAGACAUGACAACAUAGUGGAGGCCUACAGACUGGAGACAUUACAACAUAGUCAAGGCCUAGAGACUGGAGGCCUGCAGUCUGGAGACAUGACAACAUAGUGUAGGCCUACAGACUGGAGACAUUACAUCAUAGUGGAGGACUACGGACUGGGGACAUGACAUUAUAGUGGAGGACUACGGACUGGGGACAUGACAUUAUAGUGGAAGACUACAGACAUGGCAACAUAGUGGAGGCCCACAGACUGGAGACAUGACAUCAUAGUGGAGGCCUACCGACUGGAGACAUUACAUCAUAGUGGAGGCCUACAGACUGGAGACAUUACAUCAUAGUGGCCUACAGACUGGAGACAUUACAUCAUAGUGGAGGCCUACAGACUGGAGACAUUACAUCAUAGUGGAGGACUACGGACUGGGGACAUGACAUUAUAGUGGAAGACUACAGACAUGGCAACAUAGUGGAGGCCUACAGACUGGAGACAUUACAACAUAGUGGAGGCCUACAGACUGGAGGCCUACAGACUGGAGACAGGACAACAGAGAGAAUGCCUACACACCGGAGGUCUGCAGACUGGAGACAUGACAAUGUAGCGGAGGCCUACAAACUUUAGACAUUACAACAUAGUGGAGGCCUACAGACUGGAGAUAUGACAACAUAGUGUAGGCCUACAGACUGGAGACAUUACAAGUUAGUGGAGCCUUGCGGAUUCCCUCCCUGAGUAUCCCCAUCCCCAAACUUCUAAAAACCCACCUCUUAAAUGAAUAUCUUGACUAAAUACCAGUGCACACAGGUUUUGUUGUUUUAGUUCUCUCUCUCUUUCCCUCCAUCUUUUCCAGUGGUGUAUCUCUUGUUGUCUUUCGUUCUCUCUCUCAGUCUGAUGGAGUUCCUCCCUUCAUCUCUCGUGACGAAGCCACGAUCAAGGCCGAGACAGACAGCUUGUUUUCACAAGGCAGCAGGCGCUCACACAGACACAGACACAUACACACACACACACACACAUCUGGAUCCCAUCAGCGCUUUGGAGUAGCCUGCAGACUCAGGCUUUCAGAGCAGAGCAGGCUGUGUGCUCAGGCCUGGCUCUCUGGCCAAAUUAGCUGAUAGAACCAGAUAAGCUUUUGUUUCAGAUUAGGAACAGAGCUCUACGUUUGGUGACUGCUGG
rnacentral:lncRNA from 1 species